GGUUAGGUUAACGCACUUGUUUUUUACUUUUUUGGUAUCACAUUUUAUGCUUUUCGAAUGAGAUUUUAAUGAAUGUAAAUGUUAGCUUUUAGCCAACUGAAAAUUGAAGUAGAUAAAAUCAGGAAUCAGGAUACGAGUAUAUCAAUCUAAUGAUAAAAUCACAAAUAAUAUUCAGUAUUAAUUAUUCUCAAUAAUAUUUUUUGAAUGAUGUUAUAAUCAUUUGAAAUUUUUAAAAUAAGGACAUAAAGGGGCCUCAAAGAUUACUGUCACAAGAGAAAUGAUUGGAUAUAGAUUUUAAAGCUUUACCGAAGAGGAAUUUGAAACCAUGAAUAAGACAAUUCACCAUGCGGAGACAAUUAAACUAUAAGUUUGCUAUUUGCUAGAAGGAAAAACAUACAUACAUUUAAUGUUAUACUUUCCUUUUGUAUUUUUGAAUAAGAAAUAUAAAAUAAUGUUUAUACUGUACCUAUAUAUUUUGUAUUAUUUCAGACAUUCAACUUUAAUUUUUUUUUUAAAUUCGACUCACAUUCGACUAAUUCCUUAUUUAAUGAGCAGCCGAAAAGAUCAGUAAGUUCUCAGUA